UACAGAGGGGGCAAGCGUUGUUCGGAAUUACUGGGCGUAAAGGGCGCGUAGGCGGCCUGUUAAGUCGAACGUGAAAUCCCCAGGCUUAACCUGGGAACUGCAUCCGAUACUGGAUGGCUUGAAUCCGGGAGAGGGAUGCAGAAUUCCAGGUGUAGCGGUGAAAUGCGUAGAUAUCUGGAGGAACACCGGUGGCGAAGGCGGCAUCCUGGACCAACACUGACGCUGAGGAGCGAAAGCCAGGGGAGCAAACGGG
rnacentral:rRNA from 1 species